rnacentral:rRNA from 1 species
CUACGGAGGGUGCAAGCGUUAAUCGGAAUUACUGGGCGUAAAGCGUACGUAGGCGGUUAUUUAAGUCAGAUGUGAAAGCCCCGGGCUUAACUUGGGAACUGCAUUUGAAACUGGGUAACUAGAGUUUAGUAGAGGGGAGUGGAAUUUCAGGUGUAGCGGUGAAAUGCGUAGAGAUCUGAAGGAACACCAGUGGCGAAGGCGACUCCCUGGACUAGAACUGACGCUGAGGUACGAAAGCGUGGGUAGCAAACGGGAUUAGAAACCCGGGUAGUCC